GGGUGAUCUGCCCUGCACUUCGGGAUAAGCCUGGGAAACUGGGUCUAAUACCGGAUAUGACCUCAGGAUGCAUGUUCUGGGGUGGAAAGCUUUUGCGGUGUGGGAUGGGCCCGCGGCCUAUCAGCUUGUUGGUGGGGUCACGGCCUACCAAGGCGACGACGGGUAGCCGGCCUGAGAGGGUGACCGGCCACACUGGGACUGAGAUACGGCCCAGACUCCUACGGGAGGCAGCAGUGGGGAAUAUUGCACAAUGGGCGCAAGCCUGAUGCAGCGACGCCGCGUGAGGGACGACGGCCUUCGGGUUGUAAACCUCUUUCAGCACAGACGAAGCGCGAGUGACGGUAUGUGCAGAAGAAGGACCGGCCAACUACGUGCCAGCAGCCGCGGUAAUACGUAGGGUCCGAGCGUUGUCCGGAAUUACUGGGCGUAAAGAGCUCGUAGGUGGUUUGUCGCGUUGUCCGUGAAAACUCACAGCUCAACUGUGGGCGUGCGGGCGAUACGGGCAGACUAGAGUACUGCAGGGGAGACUGGAAUUCCUGGU
rnacentral:rRNA from 1 species